UACGUAGGGUGCGAGCGUUGUCCGGAUUUAUUGGGCGUAAAGAGCUCGUAGGUGGUUUGUCGCGUUGUCCGUGAAAACUCACAACUCAAUUGUGGGCGUGCGGGCGAUACGGGCAGACUGGAGUACUGCAGGGGAGACUGGAAUUCCUGGUGUAGCGGUGGAAUGCGCAGAUAUCAGGAGGAACACCGAUGGCGAAGGCAGAUCUCUGGGCCGUAACUGACGCUGAGGAGCGAAAGCGUGGGGAGCGAACAGG
rnacentral:rRNA from 1 species